GACGAACGCUGGCGGUGUGCUUAACACAUGCAAGUGGUGCGACGAACCAGAGCUUGCUCUGGGGCAAAGCCGCGAACGGGUGAGUAACACGUGGGUAAUCUACCCCGAUGACCGGGACAACCCGAGGAAACUCGGGCUAAUACCGGAUGUGGUGCGGAGACAUAAGUCUCUUCACUAAAGGUAGCUUCGGCUUCCGCAUUGGGAGGGGCCCGCGGCCCAUUAGCUUGUUGGUGGGGUCAAGGCCUACCAAGGCAAUGAUGGGUAGCUGGUCUGAGAGGACGAUCAGCCACACUGGGACUGAGACACGGCCCAGACUCCUACGGGAGGCAGCAGUGGGGAAUCUUGCGCAAUGCGCGAAAGCGUGACGCAGCAACACCGCGUGAGGGAAGAAGGCCUUAGGGUUGUAAACCUCUUUCAGAUGGGACGAAGGUUCUCCGGUGAAUAGCCGAGAGGAUUGACGGUACCGUCAGAAGAAGCUCCGGCUAACUACGUG
rnacentral:rRNA from 1 species